rnacentral:piRNA from 2 species
UGGGAGAUGUUCCAUAGUCCCCUUGGACCUA